rnacentral:rRNA from 1 species
GAUGAACGCUGGCGGCGUGCCUAAUACAUGCAAGUCGAGCGAACAGACGAGGAGCUUGCUCCUCUGACGUUAGCGGCGGACGGGUGAGUAACACGUGGAUAACCUACCUAUAAGACUGGGAUAACUUCGGGAAACCGGAGCUAAUACCGGAUAAUAUUUUAAACCGCAUGGUUCAAUAGUGAAAGACGGUUUUGCUGUCACUUAUAGAUGGAUCCGCGCCGCAUUAGCUAGUUGGUAAGGUAACGGCUUACCAAGGCAACGAUGCGUAGCCGACCUGAGAGGGUGAUCGGCCACACUGGAACUGAGACACGGUCCAGACUCCUACGGGAGGCAGCAGUAGGGAAUCUUCCGCAAUGGGCGAAAGCCUGACGGAGCAACGCCGCGUGAGUGAUGAAGGUCUUCGGAUCGUAAAACUCUGUUAUUAGGGAAGAACAAAUGUGUAAGUAACUAUGCACGUCUUGACGGUACCUAAUCAGAAAGCCACGGCUAACUACGUG